AAAAAAACGAUGACGGAGAAGAGUAAACAAAAAUAUGCUUUCAGAGAAUGGGGAUUUGGUGGGAACCCAUAAGCUACAGUUGUUGAAAAUCACUCCUAAGUUGCAGACUGAACUUUAUAUAAAGUAAGUUAUGCCGGCACAGCCGUUAUAUAUACGAGUAAUAAUUUGGGUGGUACAGCGACAGACCUUCGCCCCAUUG
rnacentral:ncRNA from 1 species